AGCUUUGCACAGUGGCAGUAUUGUAGCCAGUGAGGUUUAUCCGAGGCACAAUUAUUGGCUAAUUAAACUAUCUCAGUGACCAAGGCUACCUAUAACUCAUAUAAACAAAGUGUUUUU
ensembl:snRNA U4 U4 spliceosomal RNA